AUGAGAAACAGUCAAACUGUCUUCCAAAGUGGCAGCACCUUCUGCAUUCCCCACCAGCACUGAACGAGCGUUCCUGCGGCUCCACAACCUCACCGGCAUUUGGUGUUGUCAGUGUUCUGGACUUUGGCCUUUCUAAUAGGAUGAAGACAGUGAUGAAGAAGAUGAUGAUGAUAUAGCAGUGAUGAUGCUGUGACGCCGCUGCUGUGGCUGAUGACGGUGAUGUCAGCAGCUCUAGCAGAUGCUGUCAGUGGCCCACCCUAUCUCCAUGGUCCACCCUGGAGCUCGGCUGCUGACGGCUUCCUGCACUUCUGAAGCCUCAGGGUUUCUCUGGCCACAGCGGCCAGCCUGGUCCUGCUGGGACAGAGAUCCAGGAGUGUGAAAUCAAGAAUGUGCAACGGGUGGUUUGCCUCAUGGUCAAAUAUGGCUGCUGAAACUCCGGACAUCAACUCUGUGUUCCAGGGAGGAAGAAAGGGACUGGGAGUGUAAGGAGAACUGCUGAUGACUCUCACUGUUCUUAUAUAGGCCAAGGUUGCCCUACUGUAAGCCCCCAUGACUCUGCCAGGAGAUUCACUCUCAGCUCAGGAACAGGGGCUGAAAACAGGAAGUACCCUCAAGCCGUCCUCAGAGAUAAACAAGAGCUGGCGGAUAAAUACCUCAGCUUCUUCGCCUCCUGGUGGGAUAAGUCUGAGAGGUGUGUUCUGCACCAUUUCCCCGAAGGUCCCAGCAGCACUGAGUCGUCGCCCACAGCAGUGACUGCCCAUCCGUGUGCUGUGCACCGUUCCUCCCUUUCUCCGACUCACCUCCCCAUGGCGCUACUCUGAAAAAAUCCAUUACGCUUGAAUCCUUGACUCAGAGUCAGCUUGUGAGGGAACCCAGUCAAUGACAGGGGACAGGGCAAAAGGGGCACCCCCGGCUGGCUGUCCACCUCUUAAGGAGCCCCUCCUCCCACAGCUCCGGUCAGCAUCCACGCUCAUUUCAUUGUGCUCGAGCUGCAAGGGCAGCAGGGACCCGUAGGCCAUUAGCUGGGAUCUGCUGCUCAGGAAGGAGGUGGGGAGCGUGGCCAUGGGGCGGCAGCCGGCACUCUCUGCCGCUGUGAAAGAAGGAAGAAUGAUGGAAAGUUUCCGCCUUCCUCUGGGACCAGAUCUGACAAGGACCCGUCAAGUCUCUUGGACGCUUCCUGAGAAAUGAAUUCAUUUAUUUCAUUCCACGAAUGUUGGCUGAAACCUACUGAGUGCUCGGCUCUGGAAUGCUAUCGAGAAGAAGACACGGUUCUCACUGGUGUGAGGUGAUACCUCCACUUAGAAUGGGCAUCGUCAGAAAAUCUACAAACAACAAAUACCGGAGAGGGU